UUGAAACAGGCCACAUCUCUACGAACCCAUUCACAGCAAGGAAGCAGGCAAAGAAACAAGCUCCCUGCCAACAUGAUCUGUACUUAUAACAAGAUAUUCCCCUGGCUAAGGGUAUAUGGUCACAGAUGGACUCCAUCAGUGGACCAGUGCCAACCUGGUGCAAGUGGGCGGGCCCCUUGGCUAGGGCUGAAGUGUUCUUCUCCUCAGGAUGGCUGGUGGGAACACUGCCCAGAGUAACCUGCAUGUCUGUCUCCUCUGGUGUCUUCAUCCCUCUGAAAACCUACGCAUCCUUGCUCGGGCGGAGGAAAUACAGACCGCAUGCGCUUUUCACACGCACAGCCUCGUCGUCUGAGCAAUGCCGGCCUCUUUAGAGGUGACACCCGUUCCUAUGGCAGUCUGGUGUUUGCGUGGAUACAAUUCCCACAUGAUCCGCCGCUGAUAACUUUUUAUUG